GCUGGCGGCGUGCUUUAUGCAUGCAAGUCGAACGAGUCACUUCGGUGACUAGUGGCAUACGGGUGAGUAACGCGUAAGUAACCUGCCCUUAAGUAGGGGAUAACUCCGAGAAAUUGGAGCUAAUACCUUAUGUGGUGAUGGAGGUAAGGCUUCAUCAGUAAAGCCUUAGGGCGCUUAAGGAUGGGCUUGCGUCCGAUUAGCUAGUUGGUAGGGUAACGGCCUACCAAGGCGACUAUCGGUAGCUGGUUUGAGAGGAUGUACAGCCACACUGGGAUUGAGAUACGGCCCAGACUCCUACGGGAGGCAGCAGCAAGGAAUAUUGUGCAAUGGGCGAAAGCCUGACACAGCGACGCCGCGUGGGGGAUUAAGGCCUUCGGGUUGUAAACCCCUUUUCUCAGGGAAGAAUAAUGACGGUACCUGAGGAAUAAGCCUCGGCUAGCUACGUGCCAGCAGCCGCGGUAAUACGUAGGAGGCAAGCGUUAUCCGGAUUCAUUGGGCGUAAAGAGCGCGUAGGCGGCCUGUUAAGUCAGUUGUGAAAUCUCCCAGCUUAACUGGGAGGGGUCAACUGAAACUGAUGGGCUUGAGGGCAGCAGAGGGAGGUGGAAUUCCCGGUGUAGCGGUGAAAUGCGUAGAGAUCGGGAGGAACACCAGUGGCGAAGGCGGCCUCCUGGGCUGUCUCUGACGCUGAGGAGCGAAAGCUAGGGGAGCAAACGGGAUUAGAUACCCCGGUAGUCCUAGCUGUAAACGAUGGAUACUAGGUGUGGGAGGUAUCGACCCCUUCUGUGCCGUAGCUAACGCAUUAAGUAUCCCGCCUGGGGACUACGGCCGCAAGGCUGAACUCAAAGGAAUUGA
rnacentral:rRNA from 1 species